CAGCGUUCCGGGAAGCGGAUGGCGUCAUCCCGUCCUCCCGCGGCGGUUGCCGGCGGAGGGGCGGGGACUUGAAACAAAGGAAUAAAAAUAGCAGGGCAGACUAGAAGGAGUUUCUGGCGGAAGUUAAGAAAGAGGCAAUAGCUUCAAGCAAGUAUAAGCGGAAUUACCAGUGAUCCUGAGCACUUUCAGAUAGAAAAGAGUAGGUAAGAUGUGAGCAAGAAACUUAAGAAGUGUACAGUCUACUACAGGGUGUUUUAGGACUACAAACUGGUUUCAUUCCACUGUUUCCUGUCAGCUUUCUCUGUAGCCCUUAAGGAAAAGAGGCAAGGAAAGUGUUGCCUCCCACUUCUUUGUAAAAGAUGACCCAAGCCAAGAAGAUCUAAGAGUAAGUUUUGUAAACAAGUAAAUUAGGACUCACACCUUCUACUGAACAGGAAGAAAAAAGCCGCAAC